UUCCAGUCGCACCAAGUGGCGCAAGACGGAGAAGACGUACGUGGGUGUCAAGAGCGCUAUAUAGGCCUCUACGGCGCACUGAAGAUGUGCGCAAGAACAGCCGAGGAGCCACUGAAGUAAUUCAUGAAGGUUAUCGCUCUCUGGCGGCUCAGCGUCAACAAAAACACUGGAAAAAAAUAUGGAAGUGCGGAAGAAAUAACAUGCCCUGGUGAUAACCAUGCUGAUUGCUGAUGAAUACAAAGCAAUGUUUUCUUCAACAGUUUCAUCAAGUUUUUAUUUUCUGUUGUUCUCAAAUUUUAUGUUAUUCUUGUCUCCCGGCUUUUCAUCGGUAUGGCUUUGCCCAGGCACUGAAUCAAAAUAUGCAAUACCGGUCAUUCGUUUCCAGGCUUUCAUCUUCAUUCGGCAAUGUAUUGCUUCCCCGUUUUGAGGAAACGCUGUGGAGGAAUGCUUGCAACUUAAGAAAAUCCAAAUCGCAUAUCGCUAUCGGCACAUAAUGAGAUACAAACAAACUUUGAAAGGAAUUAAUGCAGAGUUUAACUGUGACUUUAAUUCUGACUAUGACAGUUUCUUAAUUUGCUGGAAAAUGAAAAGUUUUCGGUAGAACGAACAUUCCUGUCUUCCAUAAAUGGCACAUGCAUUGGCUCCUGCAUGAUGUCGGUAACACAAUUUUUGUCAUUUUACUGAAACUCAGAAAAUGCUAUAGCAAUCAUCAUCACUCCGAUUUUAUAUUGAAGUGGCAACUCAAGUGUUGUAGAUCACAAUAAUUAUGGUUUAAAUAAAAUGAUCAAUGCACAAUUACUGUUUGUUUUACCAUUAUCGUCAUACUGCUUAUAAGGAGAAUGAAUGGUCGCAACAUCGGUGGCCGGUGAGAGACUAUACGCAAUAGCCCUUCACAUUGAAAGGCGUUUUC